rnacentral:tRNA from 1 species
AAACAGCCAUUACCUUGCCUUGUCAAGGCAAAAUUGUGGGUUAAAACCCCGCGUGUCUUG